rnacentral:rRNA from 1 species
UGGGGAAUUUUGGACAAUGGGGGAAACCCUGAUCCAGCCAUCCCGCGUGUGCGAUGAAGGCCUUCGGGUUGUAAAGUACUUUUGGCAGGAAAGAAACGUUAUGGGUUAAUACCCCGUGAAACUGACGGUACCUGCAGAAUAAGCACCGGCUAACUACGUGCCAGCAGCCGCGGUAAUACGUAGGGUGCAAGCGUUAAUCGGAAUUACUGGGCGUAAAGCGUGCGCAGGCGGUUCGGAAAGAAAGAUGUGAAAUCCCAGAGCUCAACUUUGGAACUGCAUUUUUAACUACCGGUCUAGAGUGUGUCAGAGGGAGGUGUAAUGCCGCGUGUAGCAGUGAAAUGCGUAGAUAUGCGGAGGAACACCGAUGGCGAAGGCAGCCUCCUGGGAUAACACUGACGCUCAUGCACGAAAGCGUGGGGAGCAAACAGG